UACGGGGGGGGCAAGCGUUGUUCGGAAUUACUGGGCGUAAAGGGCUCGUAGGCGGCCAACUAAGUCAGACGUGAAAUCCCUCGGCUUAACCGGGGAACUGCGUCUGAUACUGGAUGGCUCGAGUUUGGGAGAGGUGAGUGGAACUGCGAGUGUAGAGGUGAAAUUCGUAGAUAUUCGCAAGAACACCAGUGGCGAAGGCGGCUCACUGGCCCGUUACUGACGCUGAGGCACGAAAGCGUGGGGAGCAAACAGG
rnacentral:rRNA from 1 species